rnacentral:rRNA from 1 species
GACGAACGCUGGCGGCGUGCUUAACACAUGCAAGUCGAACGAAGAGCGAUGGAAGCUUGCUUCUAUCAAUCUUAGUGGCGAACGGGUGAGUAACGCGUAAUCAACCCGCCCUUCAGAGGGGGACAACAGUUGGAAACGACUGCUAAUACCGCAUACGAUCUAAUCUCGGCAUCGAGGAUAGAUGAAAGGUGGCCUCUACAUGUAAGCUAUCACUGAAGGAGGGGAUUGCGUCUGAUUAGCUAGUUGGAGGGGUAACGGCCCACCAAGGCGAUGGUCAGUAGCCGGUCUGAGAGGAUGAACGGCCACAUUGGGACUGAGACACGGCCCAGGCUCCUACGGGAGGCAGCAGGGGGGGAUCUUCCGCAAUGGACGAAAGUCUGACGGAGCAACGCCGCGGGAGUGAUGACGGCCUUCGGGUUGUAAAGCUCUGUUAAUCGGGACGAAAGGCCUUCUUGCGAAUAGUGAGAAGGAUUGACGGUACCGGAAUAGAAAGCCACGGCUAACUACGUG